GAGGUAGUGCAAUAAAUCACAAUGCGGGACUAUCAGUCUUGCAAUUGGAUUGAGAACAAUGUACAACUCUUAUCGAUAAGCCAUUGGAGGGCAAGUCUGGUGCCAGCAGCCGCGGUAAUUCCAGCUCCAAUAGCGUAUAUUAACGUUGUUGCAGUUAAAAAGCUCGUAGUUGAAGUGUGGGUGAUCGCUGUUGUGAGACUUCGGUCUCUCGACAGUAAGUCACCCCCUUCCAGUAUCCAGUAGUGGGUAUUCACUUACUUACUACUGUGUGUUGGUCGUUUACUGUGAGAAAAUUAGAGUGUUCAAAGCAGGCGUUUGCUUGAAUAGAUUAGCAUGGAAUAAUAAUUGAAGGCUUUCGUGUUCGAUUUGAUUGGUUUGUUCAUGGAAGCAAGGUUAAAAGGAACAGUUGGGGGUAUUCAUAUUCACUAGUUAGAGGUGAAAUUCUCGGAUUUAUGGAAGAUGAACAAGGGCGAAAGCAA
rnacentral:rRNA from 1 species